rnacentral:rRNA from 1 species
GCAUAUCAAUAAGCGGAGGAAAAGAAACUAACAAGGAUUCCCCUAGUAACUGCGAGUGAAGCGGGAAAAGCUCAAAUUUAAAAUCUGGCGGUCUCUGGCCGUCCGAGUUGUAAUCUAGAGAAGUGCUGCCCGCGCUGGACCGUGUACAAGUCUCCUGGAAUGGAGCGUCAUAGAGGGUGAGAAUCCCGUCUCUGACACGGACUACCAGGGCUUUGUGGUACGCUCUCAAAGAGUCGAGUUGUUUGGGAAUGCAGCUCAAAAUGGGUGGUAAAUUCCAUCUAAAGCUAAAUAUUGGCGAGAGACCGAUAGCGAACAAGUACCGUGAGGGAAAGAUGAAAAGAACUUUGGAAAGAGAGUUAAACAGUACGUGAAAUUGCUGAAAGGGAAACGCUUGAAGUCAGUCGCGUUGGCCGGGGAUCAGCCUCGCUUUUUUGCGUGGUGUACUUUCUGGUUGACGGGUCAGCAUCAAUUUUGACCGCUGGAAAAAGGCUUGGGGAAUGUGGCAGCUUCGGCUGUGUUAUAGCCCUUUGUCACAUACAGCGGUUGGGAUUGAGGAACUCAGCACGCCGCAAGGCCGGGUUUCGACCACGUUCGUGCUUAGGAUGCUGGCAUAAUGGCUUUAAGCGACCCGUCUGAAAUGAAACACGGACCAAGGAGUCUAACAUGCCUGCG